AACCGUUUUAUUAUUACUCGUUUAGGAACUGCUGCUACUGCCGCCGCCGCCGCCGCCGCGAACCAUCAGGUUCCUAUUUGUUUUGUUACAAUUGUUUUUGGGCAUAAUUCCUGUUCCAAAUUUUAAUCUAUUUAGAAUAAAAAUCUGCAGCAGACUUGACGCUUGCCAAUAAUUUGUGUGGAACACAUGGAACAUUAAUUUGUUCAUUCGAUUCGUGAAGAUAUAUUUUUGUUUUUGAAGUCCCGCUGCAAUUCUUUGUUAAAGGAAUUGAGUUCAACAGACACGGCGUGGAAACAGGCGCUUCAGCCCAUCAAGUCCGAGUCGACCAGUGUCUGUGGAAUUCUCUGCCUCAGAGGGCGGUGGAGGCAGGGCCUGAAGGCAAUGACCACUGCCUCAUGCAUCGGCGGUCGAGAAUAUCCUUCUGCUGAAAUGUUCCAACGAAGGACAGGCGGUGCGGUGAGACACCAGUGAACUCAACCAGACCGGGUCCCUCCAUCACAAGUGGAUGUGGAGAAGAUGUUUCCACUAGUGGGAGAGUCUAGGACCAGAGGUCACAGCCUCGGAAUUAAAGGACGUUCUUUUAGGAAAGAGUUUAUGAGGAAUUUGUGUAGCCAGAGGGUGGUGAAUCUGUGGAAUUCUUUGCCACAGAGGGCUGUGGAGGCCAAGUCAAUGAAUAUUUUUAAGGCAGAGAUAGAUUCUUGAUUAGUCCAGGUGUCUGGGGUUAAUGGGAGAAGGCAGGAGAAUGGGGUUAGGAAGGAGAGAUAGAUCAGCCAUGACUGAAUGGUGGAGUAAUUACCUAAUUCUGCUCCUAUCAUUUAUGAACUUUGGAGGACAGGAGGAACCUCACCACCUAAGACGCAGGUGUUUGCAUGCUUUGGUUUUAGGCACUGUUUGAUGCAACCAUACACUAAUGUGGCUAUCGCCACAGGAGCUGUGUUAGACACGUUUCUCCUCCCCUUCCUCUGGAUAACCUGGAAUCACAAUGUGUUAGAAGGUUCAUGUUCAUAACUUCUUGGAGCCAAACUAGGCCAUUCCGCUAAUGAAGUCUACUCCGCCAUUGAAUCAUGGCUGAUCUAUCUUUCCGUCUGCACCCCAUUCUCCCACCUUCUCCCCAUAACCCCUGACACCC